AAACAAACUCUCAACAACGGAUAUCUUGGCUCUC
rnacentral:rRNA from 1 species